rnacentral:rRNA from 3 species
GCCGCUAAACCCCCAAUUUUUUGUGGUUGACCUCGGAUCAGGUAGGAAUACCCG